rnacentral:rRNA from 1 species
GAUGAACGCUGACAGAAUGCUUAACACAUGCAAGUCCACUUGAACUUCGGUUUGGGUGGCGGACGGGUGAGUCACGCGUAAAGAACUUGCCUCACAGAUAGGGACAACAUUUGGAAACGAAUGCUAAUACCUGAUAUUAUGAUUUUAGGGCAUCCUAGGAUUAUGAAAGCUAUAUGCGCUGUGAGAGAGCUUUGCGUCCCAUUAGCUAGUUGGAGAGGUAACGGCUCACCAAGGCGAUGAUGGGUAGCCGGCCUGAGAGGGUGAUCGGCCACAAGGGGACUGAGACACGGCCCUUACUCCUACGGGAGGCAGCAGUGGGGAAUAUUGGACAAUGGACCAAGAGUCUGAUCCAGCAAUUCUGUGUGCACGAUGAAGUUUUUCGGAAUGUAAAGUGCUUUCAGUUGGGAAGAAAAAAAUGACGGUACCAACAGAAGAAGUGACGGCUAAAUACGUG